rnacentral:rRNA from 1 species
GACGAACGCUGGCGGCGUGCCUAAUACAUGCAAGUCGAGCGAACAGACGAGGAGCUUGCUCCUCUGACGUUAGCGGCGGACGGGUGAGUAACACGUGGAUAACCUACCUAUAAGACUGGGAUAACUUCGGGAAACCGGAGCUAAUACCGGAUAAUAUAUUGAACCGCAUGGUUCAAUAGUGAAAGACGGUUUUGCUGUCACUUAUAGAUGGAUCCGCGCCGCAUUAGCUAGUUGGUAAGGUAACGGCUUACCAAGGCAACGAUGCGUAGCCGACCUGAGAGGGUGAUCGGCCACACUGGAACUGAGGCACGGUCCAGACUCCUACGGGAGGCAGCAGUAGGGAAUCUUCCGCAAUGGGCGAAAGCCUGACGGAGCAACGCCGCGUGAGUGAUGAAGGUCUUCGGAUCGUAAAACUCUGUUAUUAGGGAAGAACAAAUGUGUAAGUAACUAUGCACGUCUUGACGGUACCUAAUCAGAAAGCCACGGCUAACUACGUG